rnacentral:rRNA from 1 species
GUGGCGGACGGGUGAGUAACGCGUGAGCAAUCUGCCUUACACAAAGGGAUGGCCUCGGGAAACCGGGAUUAAUACCAUAUGAUAUCUAUUCACCGCAUGGUUUAUAGAUUAAAGAAUUUCGGUGUAAGAUGAGCUCGCGUCCCAUUAAUUAGUUGGUGAGGGUAACGGCCCACCAAGAUAGCGAUGGGUAGCCGAUCUAAGAGGAUGACCGGCCACAUUGGAACUGAGAAACGGUCCAAACUCCUACGGGAGGCAGCAGUGGGGAAUAUUGCACAAUGGGGGGAACCCUGAUGCAGCGACGCCGCGUGAGCGAUGAAGGCUUUCGAGUCGUAAAGCUCUGUCCUAUGGGAAGAUAAUGACGGUACCAUAGAAGAAAGCCCCGGCUAAUUACGUGCCAGCAGCCGCGGUAAUACGUAAGGGGCGAGCGUUGUCCGGAAUUAUUGGGCGUAAAGAGUGCGUAGGCGGCAAAUUAAGUCAGAUGUGAAAACUAAGGGCUCAACCCAUAGAUUGCAUCUGAAACUGAUAUGCUUGAGUCAAGGAGAGGAAAGUGGAAUUCCUAGUGUAGCGGUGGA